GCGGGUGUAGCUCAGUGGUAGAGCGUCACGUUGCCAACGUGAAUGUCGACAGUUCGAAUCUGUUCACCCGCU
rnacentral:tRNA from 1 species